UACGUAGGGGGCAAGCGUUGUCCGGAUUCAUUGGGCGUAAAGAGCGUGUAGGCGGCCAGGUAGGUCGGUUGUGAAAACUGGAGGCUCAACCUUCAGAGGUCGACCGAAACCAUCUGGCUAGAGUCCGGAAGAGGAGAGUGGAAUUCCUGGUGUAGCGGUGAAAUGCGCAGAUAUCAGGAGGAACAUCGGUGGCGAAGGCGCUCUGCUGGACCAUAACUGACACUCAGGGACGAAAGCUAGGGGAGCGAAUGGG
rnacentral:rRNA from 1 species